AGAAUCAACGCUGGCGGCGUGCCUAACACAUGCAAGUCGAACGCGAAAGGGGAGCAAUCCCUGAGUAGAGUGGCAAACGGGUGAGUAACACGUGGGUGACCUGCCUUCGAGUGGGGGAUAACGUUCCGAAAGGAACGCUAAUACCGCAUGACAUCCUGCUUUUGGAAAAGCGGCGAUCAAAGCUGGGGAUUCGCAAGAACCUAGCGCUUGAAGAGGGGCCCGCGCCUGAUUAGCUAGUUGGUGAGGUAACGGCUCACCAAGGCUACGAUCAGUAUCCGGCCUGAGAGGGCGACGGACAACGACGUGGGACUGAGACACGGCCCAGACUCCGUACGGGAGGCAGCAGGUGGGGAAUUGUCGCAAGUGGGCGCGAAGCCUGACGACGCAACGCGACGUGGAGAUGAAGUAGUUUCGGAUACGUAAACUCCUGUCGAGUGGAAG
rnacentral:rRNA from 1 species